rnacentral:rRNA from 1 species
UACGAAGGGGGGCUAGCGUUGUUCGGAAUUACUGGGCGUAAAGCGCACGUGAGGCGGAUAUUUAAGUCAGGGGUGAAAUCCCAGAGCUCAACUCUGGAACUGCCUUUGAUACUGGGUAUCUUGAGUAUGGAAGAGGUAAGUGGAAUUGCGAGUGUAGAGGUGAAAUUCGUAGAUAUUCGCAGGAACACCAGUGGCGAAGGCGGCUUACUGGUCCAUAACUGACGCUGAGGUGCGAAAGCGUGGGGAGCAAAC